rnacentral:rRNA from 1 species
GGAUGAACGCUGGCGGCGUGCUUAACACAUGCAAGUCGAACGAGAAAUGGAGACGGAAACCUUGGGCAGAAGACUUCAUUUCGAGUGGCGGACGGGUGAGUAACGCGUGGGUAACCUGCCUCAUACAGGGGGAUAACAGUUGGAAACGACUGUUAAUACCGCAUAAGACCACAGCACCGCAUGGUGCGGGGGUAAAAACUCCGGUGGUAUGAGAUGGACCCGCGUUCGAUUAGCCAGUUGGCGGGGUAACGGCCCACCAAAGCGACGAUCGAUAGCCGAUCUGAGAGGAUGACCGGCCACAUUGGGACUGAGACACGGCCCAAACUCCUACGGGAGGCAGCAGUGGGGAAUAUUGCACAAUGGGGGAAACCCUGAUGCAGCGACGCCGCGUGAGUGAAGAAGUACUUCGGUAUGUAAAGCUCUAUCAGCAGGGAAGAAAAUGACGGUACCUGAGUAAGAAGCCCCGGCUAACUACGUGCCAGCAGCCGCGGUAAUACGUAGGGGGCAAGCGUUAUCCGGAUUUACUGGGUGUAAAGGGAGCGCAGACGGUUGCGCAAGUCUGAAGUGAAAUCCCGAGGCUUAACCACGGGACUGCUUUGGAAACUGUGCGACUUGAGUAUCGGAGGGGCAGGCGGAAUUCCUAGUGUAGCGGUGAAAUGCGUAGAUAUUAGGAAGAACACCGGUGGCGAAGGCGGCCUGCUGGACGAAAACUGACGUUGAGGCUCGAAGGCGUGGGGAGCAAACAGGAUUAGAUACCCUGGUAGUCCACGCGGUAAACGAUGAAUACUAGGUGUUGGUGCCCAAAGGGCAUCGGUGCCGUCGCAACGCAAUAAGUAUUCCACCUGGGAGUACGUUCGCAAGAAUGAAACUCAAG